GAAAUGCGAUAAGUAAUGUGAAUUGCAGAAUUCAGUGAAUCAUCGAAUCUUUGAACGCACCUUGCGCUCCUUGGUAUUCCUUGGAGCAUGCCUGUUUGAGUAUCAUGAAAUCUUCAAAGUAAAUCUUUUGUUAACUCAAUUGGUUUCUACUUUGGUAUUGGAGGUCUUUGCAGCUUCACACCUGCUCCUCUUUGUUCAUUAGCUGGAUCUCAGUGUUAUGCUUGGUUCCACUCGGCGUGAUAAGUUAUCUAUCGCUGAGGACACUGUAAAAGGUGGCCAAGGUAAAUGCAGAUGAACCGCUUCUAAUAGUCCAUUGACUUGGACAAUACUUUUAUGAUCUGAUCUCAAAUCAGGUAGGAAUACCCGCUGAACUUAAGC
rnacentral:misc_RNA from 1 species